GCCAGCUAGUGGUCCUGCUCCUGCUGAUGCAAGCAACCAGGUCCUGAUGCUUCCAAGGAAGGUGCAAGAAACCCAUGUGAAAGGAAGCUGAGGGCUCUUUAACAUAGCUGAAGAUGGCAGAAUGGGAUCCAACAGCUGGAAGAUGAAACACUUAGAAGUCAAGACUUAGAUGUGAAGGUUGUGCAUGUUAAGCAGCAAAGCUCACUCCAGCUCAAGCAAGUGAUGGAUUUCCUGAUUCUCCAGCCUAUAUGUGAAAGAUUAGAAGAGGCAGUCAUGAUGACACUCUGCCACUGGCUUCAGAAUGCUCACAAAAGGCUCAUCAACCUGAGGACCUGCCUCCCAGCCUCUCCCUUGCUUUUUCCAGGAAUAGGACCACACCCUACCUACCUAUUCCAGGUCUAUGAUGAACUCAGAGAAAGAAGCCACUUAUAGCUGAUCCAGUACAGUCCUGGGGAGAGCUGCAAGAGCAGUCCUAAUGUGCAUUACUGUCCUUGUCCUUAAUCUCGAAAUUCUGCCCACCCCAGUUGCACCACAUACUAAAAAAAAUCCAGUUUAAUUCUCUCAAACAGCCAAUCUAUCCUCCCAGCCACACCCUGCAUUACAGCAGCCUGCUCACUUCCCCUGGCUGACCACACAGCGCUAAAGGAACCUCACCCCACUUCACUGGCUAUGGCCAAUGCAAAGGAGCUCAGCUCAGCUCCUGUCACCAACUACACUUGGUGUGGGCCUGACCCUAACUGCUUCUUCUCUUCUUCUUCAGCAAUCCCUCGCAACUGAGGAUGAUUGUCUUCCAUGAUUGUUUUACCUGUGUGCCUGAAGAUGGCUGAUGAGGCUUAUCCAGAAUCAGACUCUACUGUCUCUUGCACACGCAUUUCCAUGUGGGGUGGGUGGCACUGGAUUCUUAAUCCCUUCUUCCUCCAUAUGCAGUAGUCCUGGGCGAUUGUCAACUUGAGGGAGACUUCGAUAUUGCAUUUUCUUAAGUUGGCUUUGAGGAAGUCCCUGAAGUGCUUUUUCUGCUCUCCUCUUGAGUGUACACCUUGGCUGUGCUGGGAGAAUAAAACUUGC